AACCUCCCUGCCCCUUCUCCUGCCCCCCUUACCCUGCUGCUCAGAACAGGGUGUUGGGCUCUGUGCGAGCCGGACACGUGGCUAAGCUCCCCAGCACAACAAAACCCGGUCCCUGGCCCUGCACAACAAAACCCGGUCCCUGGCCCGGACCGGGUUGCAGGGGAGAGCUGCCCUUGUAUCAGCACAAAGUGCUCUCGCUCCCGUUUUGCUAGCUGCAUGGCAGUAACUGCUCCCAGUUGCAAAAGGGGAGGGCUGCACUUUGUGCUGAGACACUUGCUCAGAAUGCAGGGCGGAGCUCCUCUCCAGCUGCUCUGGAGUCCAGCCCGGGACUUUCCUGCAGCCCUCCCAGCCGCUCCGGGGGAGGGGGGAAAUCCCGGACAUUGUGAGUGCUUUACAAAUUCCCCCCGGACGCUAUUUUUAGCACAAAAAGGAGGACAUGUCCGGGUAAAUCCGGACGAAUGGUAACCCUAAUAUAUAAUGGGACGUCAAAGAUUCUAAACUUCAACACAGUAUUCAAGGGUUGGACAGGAGGAUGACAAUUUCAGAGAAGUCUUACGCUGAAUACCCACAAGGAGAGCACCAAGUUAUGGCCAAGUACCAUUAAUGAAGCAGCAAUAUCUCUGCCACUGGACAAACCUCUGGAGAAAGGGUAUAAAACCAACAUUUGAAAGAUAAAGCAGAGUGGAAUUCUCAUCUCACUCUCUGAAGCCUCUCUGGGAAGGGGUAAA